AUUGAACGCUGGCGGCAGGCUUAACACAUGCAAGUCGAACGAUGAUUUCCCAGCUUGCUGGGAAUGAUUAGUGGCGGACGGGUGAGUAACAUUUAGGAAUCUGCCUAGUAGUGGGGGAUAGCUCGGGGAAACUCGAAUUAAUACCGCAUACGACCUACGGGUGAAAGGGGGCGCAAGCUCUUGCUAUUAGAUGAGCCUAAAUCAGAUUAGCUAGUUGGUGGGGUAAAGGCCCACCAAGGCGACGAUCUGUAACUGGUCUGAGAGGAUGAUCAGUCACACCGGAACUGAGACACGGUCCGGACUCCUACGGGAGGCAGCAGUGGGGAAUAUUGGACAAUGGGGGCAACCCUGAUCCAGCCAUGCCGCGUGUGUGAAGAAGGCCUUUUGGUUGUAAAGCACUUUAAGCAGGGAGGAGAGGCUAAUGGUUAAUACCCAUUAGAUUAGACGUUACCUGCAGAAUAAGCACCGGCUAACUCUGUGCCAGCAGCCGCGGUAAUACAGAGGGUGCGAGCGUUAAUCGGAAUUACUGGGCGUAAAGCGAGUGUAGGUGGCUCAUUAAGUCACAUGUGAAAUCCCCGGGCUUAACCUGGGAACUGCAUGUGAUACUGGUGGUGCUAGAAUAUGUGAGAGGGAAGUAGAAUUCCAGGUGUAGCGGUGAAAUGCGUAGAGAUCUGGAGGAAUACCGAUGGCGAAGGCAGCUUCCUGGCAUAAUAUUGACACUGAGAUUCGAAAGCGUGGGUAGCAAACAGGAUUAGAUACCCUGGUAGUCCACGCCGUAAACGAUGUCUACUAGCCGUUGGGGUCCUUGAGACUUUAGUGGCGCAGUUAACGCGAUAAGUAGACCGCCUGGGGAGUACGGCCGCAAGGUUAAAACUCAAAUGAAUUGACGGGGGCCCGCACAAGCGGUGGAGCAUGUGGUUUAAUUCGAUGCAACGCGAAGAACCUUACCUGGUCUUGACAUAGUGAGAAUCCUGCAGAGAUGCGGGAGUGCCUUCGGGAAUUCACAUACAGGCGCUGCAUGGCUGUCGUCAGCUCGUGUCGUGAGAUGUUGGGUUAAGUCCCGCAACGAGCGCAACCCUUUUCCUUAUUUGCCAGCGGGUUAAGCCGGGAACUUUAAGGAUACUGCCAGUGACAAACUGGAGGAAGGCGGGGACGACGUCAAGUCAUCAUGGCCCUUACGACCAGGGCUACACACGUGCUACAAUGGUAGGUACAGAGGGUUGCUACACAGCGAUGUGAUGCUAAUCUCAAAAAGCCUAUCGUAGUCCGGAUUGGAGUCUGCAACUCGACUCCAUGAAGUCGGAAUCGCUAGUAAUCGCAGAUCAGAAUGCUGCGGUGAAUACGUUCCCGGGCCU
rnacentral:rRNA from 1 species